AUUGAACGCUGGCGGCAGGCCUAACACAUGCAAGUCGAACGGUAACAGGAAGAAGCUUGCUUCUUUGCUGACGAGUGGCGGACGGGUGAGUAAUGUCUGGGAAACUGCCUGAUGGAGGGGGAUAACUACUGGAAACGGUAGCUAAUACCGCAUAACGUCGCAAGACCAAAGAGGGGGACCUUCGGGCCUCUUGCCAUCGGAUGUGCCCAGAUGGGAUUAGCUAGUAGGUGGGGUAACGGCUCACCUAGGCGACGAUCCCUAGCUGGUCUGAGAGGAUGACCAGACACACUGGAACUGAGACACGGGCCAGACUCCUACGGGAGGCAGCAGUGGGGAAUAUUGGACAAUGGGCGCAAGCCUGAUGCAGCCAUGCCGCGUGUAUGAAGAAGGCCUUCGGGUUGUAAAGUACUUUCAGAGGGGAGGAAGGGAGUAAAGUUAAUACCGUUGCUCAAUGACGUUACCCGCAGAAGAAGCACCGGCUAACUCCGUG
rnacentral:rRNA from 1 species